rnacentral:rRNA from 1 species
GACGGGGGGGCAAGUGUCUUCGGAAUGACUGGGCGUAAAGGGCACGUAGGCGGUGAAUCGGGUUGAAAGUGAAAGUCGCCAAAAAGUGGCGGAAUGCUCUCGAAACCAAUUCACUUGAGUGGAGACAGGAGGAGAGUGGAAGUUUCGAUGGUGUAGGGGUGGAAAUCCGUAGAUCUACGAAGGAACGCCAAAAGCGAAGGCAGCUCUCUGGGUCCCUACCGGACGCGGGGUGCGAAAGCCAUGGGGAGCGAACAG